GAACAUUCUGCAGGUGAGCAGAAGGGAGGGAGGGAGGGCGCAAAGGGAGGGGGAGUGAGCCCAAGAUGGAAGCUGCUUGCAGAGAAGGGGCAGCCUCAGGAUCAGAGGCCCCUCUUUUCCCUGAGAGACUCCUGGAAAGUCUGUCCUUCGCUGAUUCUGGCCUUCAAAGAUCCCUCCAAGGUCUUAAAGGAGUUGGAUUCCUUCUCUGAGGCUCUGAAAGGUCUCGGGCCUCAGUCUUCCAGACUGAAGAAUGGGUAUCCCACCACAGACAGGGAAAACUUUGUGGAAAUGGGCACUGAGGUUGGAAUUUCCUGGAGGAGGGUGGGUACUGGGGCCACUGUGGGCCUGCUGUCACCCCACCCUCACCAACAGAUGCACCCCGAUGAAGAGGACAGCGACUUUGACGUGACGUUCCAGCCAUGGCACAAGGAGAUGCUGCAGCAACUGCUGGUCAUGCUCGGCUCCACUGUGGUCCCGAGACCUCAGAAGGCUGUGUGUCCCCACCGGGAGUCACAGUCCCAUGGCCCACCCAAGGAGAGAUGCGUGCACCUGGUUCUCUAAAAAGGCUUGAAAAGUUUAGUCUUCCUGAAGUUCCCCUACGUCCCAAGUAGGACACAGAGAGAAGAACCUACUCCAGAAAUGGACUGGUCCAGUCACAGUCACCCCCACUUUAAUCCGCAGGCAGCCUGGAACAGUCUAGAGGAGAUUUGUAUAAAAAGUAGAUACCAAGGCUGGCGUGGCAGCUCUGUGGCUGUGGCUGGGUUGGUGGGCACUACAGUCAGGCAGGCAGCCAUGGCCACUAGUGUCACGGCCCCAAUGAGGGCCCCUGGCUUCGCUCACGGAUGUGGUCCAAGAUCAGGUCAGUGGCUCGAUCCAGCAACAGAGGCAGCAGCUCCUGCUCAGCAGGGGAGAAGCAGCCCAGCACAUGGGCCUGUACCGCCUCAGGGUGCGUCGGGCGCCCAAUGCCCACCCGCAGCCUUGGCAUUGCCUGUGGGAGAGCCAGAGAGGCCCAGGAAGUUUGGCGAGGUGCUGGGGGACCCCUGGCCCACCCGACCCAGUUGCACAACAAAAGGGUAGACUCACAUUGGAGUUGAGGCAGCUAAUGCAGGAACGGACUCCAUUGUGGCCCCUUCAAGGGAUAUGGGAGGGGCAGUUAGUGCCUCCCUGGGGCAGUGUCCUUCCACCCCUCCCUGUCCCGGCUGGGUCAGAGCAGCCCAUUUCCUGUGGAGACUGGGUCAGCAGCCCUACUCCACCCCAACUGGGAGGCCUGAAGCCCUAUCCCAACCCUGACCAUCUCAGGACCUCACCUGGCACUGCCCCCCAGCUUCAGAGCCAGUCUCCCCAGGGGCUUGUCCAGCUCAUCAUGCACCAGGUAGACUUCCUCGGCAGUCAGCCCAAACAGCUCCGCUUAGCACAGGGAAACGGCAGCCCUGGUUACUGCCCAUCUGCUCAGAGAGGCACUGUCCCGACUCCCAUGAUGAGGGGCCACAACUAAUCCCACUUCACAUAUAAAGAAACUGAGCCCCCCCCCAAGUACCCAAGGCCAUGCAGCAACUGGAGCUCAACAGAUACUUGGAGGCGAACCCGCGGAUCUGUCACAGCCAGUCCCCCUCUGGCCCCUGCGCCUCCACCCCCACCCCCACGGCCUGCCCGCCCACCCGUGGCGCUCUCAACUCACCAGCCCGGGCCACGCUGCGCCCGUUGGCGUUCAUAAGCCGCCGUGGCCGGAGCAGGACCAGUUGGGCAUCCCCCAGCGGGGCCAGGGCGAGAUCGGCGGCACAGUGCCGGUCGCGCGUCCAACUCUCCGCCACACCCAGCCUUCGCGCCAGCUGCCCCAGCACCGCCAUGCCCACGCUGUGUCGCGUGCCGGGCAGUCCGGGAUUCCCCAGGCCAGCCACCUGCGGGCGGCACCAGGGAAACUGAGGCCCAACAACUCUCGCCACCCCCGAUCUCACAGCGUCCCGUGGGCCCCAACGCAGAGGAGCGGAAACGCAGAGCAACGCUGCAGUGGGGAAGGGGCGCGAAGAAGGGGCCCAGAAACCCGACCCCUGAGAACUCCAGAAGGCUGGGCAGGCAGGGCGCCCUAGUGCAGGAACGGAGCUUCUGGAAGUUUGGAGCCCGUCGAGCACUGGACUCACCAGUUAAGAAAACAGAGCAGCAAUUUGGGGGCACUCGGCUCCCGGGACAUAAUGGCCGAACUGAAGCUAGGGACCGGGAGCCCCUACGUCGCCGCCCCACGCCACUCACCAUCCACCGCUUCCCCGGGGGCCGAGGCUCCAAAACACAUCUGCUCAUGGCUCUACUCAGCCGCUGUCCCGCGCCCAAAAAGCCGCGCGGCCUCAUGCUGCCCUCAUUCACUCCCCCGACACUGCCCCCUGACGUCAUCACCCCGCAGCAGCCAAUCGCGUUGCCAUCUGUUUGGCGUCGACCGCCAACGUCCAAUCCGGGCCGGGCUACAUGGCCGCCAUGCUUCUGAGGGGCGGAAGCGGCGAGAAGGUGGCCGAGUCCGGGAACCCAGGCGCCUUCAGUGGUGCGGCGUCACAGUGUCCCUGCGGGAUUUGUGUGGGACGCUCGGAGCUCUUGCUUGACCUUCGGUUGGGAGGCCUUGUUAUGCCCCCCGCUAUAGCCCUGCUUUGCGGCGAAAAUCUGGCAAGUCCUUUCCCCGCUGUAGGCCUCAACCUCUCCAGCUAAUAAAAGUUUUCUACCUCC
rnacentral:sRNA from 1 species